rnacentral:lncRNA from 1 species
UUAACAAGACAAAAACUAUAUUCAAUUACAUAUGAUGCACAGAGUCCCACAGACAUAUGUGACUUGAAGAAGGGCCAGAUGAUUGAAGCUUAUAUAAUAUCCUGAGCUAUAGAAAGGAAUAGGGUUUUGGGGUUUCUAAGGGUUGGUGGAGAAAAGCCAUGGGAGGGUGAAGGGAAGAAAUACGUGUUGAAUAAAGCUUGUGUUUUCGUGCAGCUAAGCGAUCUCUCAGAUGGUAAAAGUUGUCUCAGAGCAGCCCUCAGAAGAAUAGGUGAGAGUCUGGGUGUGGCACCAAACUCCAAUCUUAUCUCCUGUGGUCCAAGAUAAUCUUCACUGGUUGCUAAGAUUCCCAGGGAGAAGAUUUAUGACAGUUGAGUUCCUUUUGGAGGAUCAGUCUUUAGGCGCAUCAAGGGAGCUCAGAGAAAGCCCAAAUCUUCUGUUCCCCAAGUGCCUUGCCUCCUCAAUCUAGUUUGUUCUCUUCCACUUUUGUUACCGGAGACUUGGAACUGAGAAUGCAACACCCAUCCAUCCUUGGAAGCCUUCUCCAGAGACAAGCGCUCGUUCUCCCUGGGAACUGUGUAGGAGAUGCAGCAGGGAGCCUAGCCCAGCCUGUGCCCGUCCUAGUAGCCUGCACCUUCAUGGAUCUGAUUUUUAUUUCUUAGGGGCUGAGGUUAGCCUCUUGGUUUUUCAGCACACACGAAUGCACACAAGCGUAUGCAUAUACUGACACUGCGUGGGGUGAGGCAAGACACGCCGGUCAACGGGCCCCUGGGGUGGGGAGAAUGCAGGAGGGCUGGUAGGAGCUGGAGGAGCUCUCUUCACACCCCCAAGUCCUCUGGUCCAGGGUGCCCGUGAAACCAGGGCCCAGCUCUGACUCGAUUUUUGUCGAGAAGAAUCAGCCAUCAAAGAGUGAGAGGUGGGAUGCCUCACUCAGGGGUUCACCUCUCUGCUCCUAUCACAUCCCCAGAAGCAGCUGCCACUAGCCAAGGUGAGAAAAUCAUAAUGGCACCCUUGAGAGAGAGCCCUUUAUGAAGCAGCUAAAUAUCCUCUCUUUCCAGGGAAUGACUUAACAAAACCUCAAAUGACACGCUUGGAUGUCAGCUGAAACAACUUUUCUCAAAAAAACCUAAAUGCAAAAAAAAAGCUUAUUUGAAACAACAUCCAGAGGGAGUCCUUGUACACCUAAGCCCAGGUAAUGGAUUUACGCCCGGACUGCUUUCCCCCGCAGGGAAUCUAGUCCCUCCACGAUCUCACUUCCCAGAACCAAAGGCUAGUGGAGCACCAGGCCUAUUUUGGAAGGGCUGGGAAGGGAGGGGAAAAUGGAUUUGUAGAUGUCUAGUGAGUGCUGAGACUGCUGGGUGCUUCCUUCACCAACCUGAACUCACUUCAGACUCACACAGAAAAAAACAUCACGUUAAGAAUUCCUCUGGGAGGGAAUUGAC